rnacentral:rRNA from 1 species
GAUGAACGCUGGCGGCGUGCUUAACACAUGCAAGUCGAACGGUGAAGCAGGAGCUUGCUCUUGUGGAUCAGUGGCGAACGGGUGAGUAACACGUGAGCAACCUGCCCCUGACUCUGGGAUAAGCGCUGGAAACGGCGUCUAAUACUGGAUAUGUGAUGUGACCGCAUGGUCUGCAUCUGGAAAGAAUUUCGGUUGGGGAUGGGCUCGCGGCCUAUCAGCUUGUUGGUGAGGUAAUGGCUCACCAAGGCGUCGACGGGUAGCCGGCCUGAGAGGGUGACCGGCCACACUGGGACUGAGACACGGCCCAGACUCCUACGGGAGGCAGCAGUGGGGAAUAUUGCGCAAUGGGCGGAAGCCUGAUGCAGCAACGCCGCGUGAGGGAUGACGGCCUUCGGGUUGUAAACCUCUUUUAGCAGGGAAGAUGCGAAAGUGACGGUACCUGCAGAAAAAGCACCGGCUAACUACGUGCCAGCAGCCGCCGUAA